rnacentral:lncRNA from 1 species
CUUGAAAAUUCACUUCAUUUGAGAGUCAUUUGUUUCUUGAUAACUGUUGUCCAGUUGCUACAUACUUCAUUAAAUUGAUGCAAAGAAAAUCUGUUCAUUGUGCUCAAAAUUUUAGAGAAAGACAUGAGAAAUGAUGAAGAAGUGGAUGAUUGACAGAGAGUUCAGCUGAGUUUCAGAGAGAGAGACCUGGAAGCUGAAGGAACAGAAGGUCUUCGUGGGCAAUAUGUCCAUGCAGCUGUGUCAUCUCCU